UACGAAGGGGGCUAGCGUUGUUCGGAUUUACUGGGCGUAAAGCGCACGUAGGCGGAUCGUUAAGUCGGGGGGGAAAUCCUGGAGCUCAACUUCAGAACUGCCCUCGAUACUGGCGAUCUUGAGUCCGGAAGAGGUGAGUGGAACUCCUAGUGUAGAGGUGGAAUUCGUAGAUAUUAGGAAGAACACCAGUGGCGAAGGCGGCUCACUGGACCGGUACUGACGCCGAGGUGCGAAAGCGUGGGGAGCAAACAGG
rnacentral:rRNA from 1 species